CUCCCAUAGCGUAUAUUAACGUUGUUGCAGUUAAAAAGCUCGUAGUUGAAAUGAAGGGUAGUUGUGUAAUGAAUACAUUCGUGUAUUUUGUUAUUCAACUACCCUCCUUCUAAAUUCGAUAUAUGAGUAUUAAUUUACUUGUAUAUGGUUUUAGACGUUUACUGUGAGAAAAUUAGAGUGUUCAAAGCAGGCAUUUGCUUGAAUAUAUUAGCAUGGAAUAAUCAUGUAUGAUUUUCAUGAUGUAUUUGAUUGGUUUGGUUCAUGAGAAUAAGAUGAAAAGGGACAGUUGGGGGUAUUCAUAUUCAAUAGUCAGAGGUGAAAUUCUCGGAUUUAUGGAAGAUGAACAAGUGCGAAAGCA
rnacentral:rRNA from 1 species